rnacentral:lncRNA from 1 species
CUAAGUCUAAUCGAAUCUUCCGUUAAUUGGUGGAGCUUUUGGAGGGAACAAACUUCCUCGAACUCUUGGAUAAAAAGAUAAGGAUCCUCACCCUCACUCCCGGUAAAUUUAGGUAACAUGCUAAUGUGGUGAGCUUUGAUUUCAAAAUUGUUCCCAUUUACGGGAGGAAGGGUGAUGCACGAAGGUUGACUUGAACGAGAUGGAUAACAACGAUCCUUGAGUGAAAGGGCCAUGUUUACUAUCGGUUCUAGAACUUCUAGGGUUUCGGAAUCCGAAGAGGACGAGGGAAUCUCGAUUAUAGGUCUUACUAAUCUAGACGAUUCGUUCCUAACCCAAGUAGUUCGCAUAAACUAGAUAGUAAACACGUAGCAAGUAAGUGCGAAAAAUUAAAACACACAAAAGAAAGGGUGUAAAAGAGAAAGAAAAACCUAAAUCUAGGGUUCCCUAAAAAAAAUGAACUAGACCUUGCUCCUAACGUUAAGGACCACCAAAAACUCGAUAAAUCCAAAAUUAUUCGGACCGGUUUGGCCAGUUUGGAGCAGGCAUUGCCAAGAGGCCAAUCUCCGCGCUUAGACACCAAACCUUAAUCGGCCAGGUAAGCUUUCGCUUGCCUUAGACACCGAAAAGUCGGAAUAAUUAAAGAUU